AAUCAACAUAUGCCUCUACCCAAGAACUGGUGUCACAUUACUCACGAACUCCUAAGAGUACUAAAUACAACCAUUUGAAAGAAAAUAUAAACUGUUUGUAUCGAAUACAUGAGAUAACGGACUGAAAUAAAAGAUAAAGGAGACGUCGGGCCUGCGGACGCCUGCAAGGCUACCUCGGUGUCUCACUGUACUGAAGGCUGGCUCCCGCGCUACUGCUGUUGUCCAAGACCUGGAUCUGUGUAAAAGAGCACAAAGUGUAGCAUUAGCACAACCGACCCCAUGUGCUGGUAAGUGUCUAGCCUAACCCCGACGAGGUAGUGACGAGGCUAGGACUAGACUCCAGAUAAACUUGUGAGAAACAUGCUUCAGGGAUAGUAGUUAAAAGAAAAUAACAGGGAAUACUGAGGAAGCUAGCAAUAUAACUUCUAUCACAAAUGAAGAAAAUAAAGGCAACUUUCAAUUUCAGUUUCAUCUUGUUGCAGGCGUGCAACCCGAUCCUAUUUCUCAUAUCUCGUGGUAGGCGUACCACCCGCUCACAUUUCAUUAUUUCUCGUGGUAGGCGUACCACAUGCUCCCAUUUUAUUAUAUCUUGUGAUAAGCGUACCACCCGCUCCCAUUUCAUAAUAUCUUGUGGUAGGCAUACCACCCGCUCCCAUUUCAUCACACAAUUACAAAAAAUUCCGGCAAGGGAACAUAAGCGAUAUAAUAACCUCCUGGCGAGGGAACAAAAGCAAUAUAAUAGUUUCCUGGCAAGGGAACA
rnacentral:lncRNA from 1 species